UUUCUUUUAAAAGGUGUGUUUUUGAAUUGUUUAGCCAAGAUAAAUGUUUAUUUUCGGUCUUGAUAACUAAUAUUGAGCAAUAAUGCCUCAAUGUUUCAUUUAAAAAAAAAAAGCCGUUCACAAUAUGUUAUUAGUGUCUGUGUAUUCAUUGCUAUAAAGUUCAUGAAAAUUCGAAAGAAGAUGCAAAGCGUAAUAAUUCAAAUCACAAUUUUUUUAAGCAUUUAUUUAUUUUCUUGUGUGACUGCAAGCUGCGUAAAAUUUAGAUGGUCUGGAUGUUUUGACGGAGAAAAUGAAGAAGCUUUAGGUUUGAAAUACAAAGAAUUUGUCGAAAAGUUAGGAGUUUUAUUUCAAGAAAGAUUAAAAAAAAAAGAAACGGGUGUUAAGACGUCAGUUGCACCCACUAAAACUCUAUAUAA